AACGAACGCUGGCGGCGCGCCUAAUACAUGCAAGUCGAGCGAGAAGGUGUAGCAAUACACUUGUAAAGCGGCGAACGGGUGAGGAAUGCAUGGGUAACCUACCCUCGAGUGGGAAUAACUAGCCGAAAGGUUAGCUAAUACCGCAUACGUUUCCGGAACUUCGGUUUCGGAAGAAAGCAAUACCGUGGGUAUUGCGCUCCUGGAUGGGCUCAUGUCCUAUCAGCUUGUUGGUGAGGUAACGGCUCACCAAGGCUUCGACGGGUAGCUGGUCUGAGAGGAAGAUCCCCCACACUGGCACUGAGAUACGGGCCAGACUCCUACGGGAGGCAGCAGUAGGGAAUAUUGGUCAAUGGAUGCAAGUCUGAACCAGCCAUGCCGCGUGCAGGAAGAAGGCCCUUCUGGGUUGUAAACUGGCUUUUUGCCUAGGGGAUAAAUUUCCAUGCGUGGAAAACUGAAGGUACCUGGUGAAUAAGCCACGGCUAACUACGUGCCAGCAGCCGCGGUAAU
rnacentral:rRNA from 1 species